rnacentral:snRNA from 14 species
GUACUCAUUUGGGCAGCACAUACACUAAAAUUAUAAUGAUACAGAGAGGGUGAGCAUGACCUCUGUGCAA